CCCUUGGGCAUUCCUGCCCAGCAAGAAACCCCGCAGUUUGUCUGUACUUAUUGCCACCUACAUGCCUUGCUCAAGGGGCUGCUUGCCAAGGCGGGGAGGGCGAAGGGUCUCCUCUUCCUCCAAGUCCCAGAUCACUAGGAAAUGCCCUUCCCGCCAGACCCACGUGACAAAUACAGUUUGUCAAGGAGAGAGCUCUUCAAACACAUUCAAAUCCUAAAGGCAUCCAAGGUUGGGAGGCAGCUGUGCUGGACGUGCGUAUUUGCAGGGUCAGGCAUGAGGAGAAGGAGGAGGGGCCGGUCCUAAAUGACAGCUUCAGAUAAAUGAGAGUAGUGUACUCCGGGUAGCUCUGAACUCGGGUAGUGCCCUCCCUAGCCCAGAGCAGGUCAGACUCCUCAAACCGCCUGCCCGAGCCUUUCUGCUGUGUGCUCUGGGGCAUGUCUCUCUUUGCUUUCUUGGAUCCUGAGCCAAGGAGGAAAUGUAGUUUGAGUCUUGCUGUAUGGCCAGGGAUCUUUGGACUGGGAAAUGUGCCUGCUCCGUUUACACGCUGGGAUUCCAGGCGCGCGCACCCAAUGCCCUACAACGAUUGCUUUGAAUGCAACUCCAAACAACAACAGCAGCCUCGGCAGUCAUGACAACAGGCCCCGCCCACCAGACCUCCAGCCCAGCUGACAACACGUGAUGGCGACGCUCCUCCGCCCCUGGCGCAGAGGGAGGGCGGGGAGGCGAGGAGGAGGAGGAGGAGGGAGGGAUGACGUUUGCUCUGUCGUCUCCAUGGCUAAAACGCAUAGACGUCAACGCCCCCAGUGUUUAGUGUGUAAUGUUCUUUGGUCUCUAUGGGAACGUCAGGCUGCCCAACACAGGACCCCGGCAACAGGCUUCUGAUUGGUCGGAGGCUAGCAGGGGCGGAGCUUCGGCUCCCGCCCGCUCUGCCCGUGUUGCUGUUUUGGUUGUUGUCUCCCAGCUGUUUAUUUCUGUAACAGAUCUUGGAGGCUGCGGUCUGGAUCCCUCGCCAAGAACCAGAUCCAGGAGAAAACGUGCUCAACGUGCAGCUCUGCUCCUACUGAUUAUAGCCCCACAGAUGACAUCGCUCCAUAGUCACACCAAGUCUCCUGUGGGAGUCUUGCUCCUCGUUCUCAGUGUCUGUUACAGCUCGGUAUUUUAGUGUCAGGACGUCGGCUCCCAGCCCGCAUCUCCGCUCAGCAAUGCCAUUAUCUUCUCAGCCAAGUCCUAGAAAUGGGUUGGCUUCCCAGUUAAUGCUUUUCAUGCUCUCAAAAGCAGUCGGAGCCGUUCAUACCCAAUUCCUGGAUUCAGUGCUACCCCCUGCAGGAUCUGGCUCCAUUUCCUCCGUCUGGUCCUAAUUCUGUGCAAUGACAUCAUUUACCCACAUUUCCCACCGAGAUGCCCAGAUUUCUUCUAGCCGGCGUACAUCAAAAAAAAUUCCAAAUGACCUUGGGUGGAUACUUCGGGUUAAGGACUUUUAUUAUUUUUCUCUCUGUCUGGUAGCAGCCUGCAGUGGCAAAUGGGGUGGGAUGUAGUGAUGUACCCUUGAUUUCUCCAAAUGAACUAAAACCAAACUGAAGAAAGAGCUACACAGUCACUUUUUACAUAUUAAAAUGCCAGAUAUUUGAUAAAUAAUACUACCAUACCGAUGGAGUUAACAUUCCAAGACAUAAUCCACAGAAACUUUUCUACCUGCCUCCCUCAGUUGAGCAUUGAAGCCAAGGUCCAGGGCCUUGGGCAUAUUAGGUGAGCAUGCUACCAGAGCCACACAUUCCCAGCUUCGUUAAAACUGGAAGCAGUUUUAACUUUACCCUGGACUUCCAUCAGUGAAACCAAGUUAGCAUCUGUCUAGAGAUAACAAUCUCUCCUCGGGGCUUUCAGGCAAAUCCUGCUAUUAAAAAAAAAAAAAAGCCUUAAAAUCUUCAGUUCCAGAGUCAGAUAGACUGCACUCACCAGCUCGUGCACAUACAAGUCUGAGAUGUUUCAUAAAAGGUUUCGAUGACCUGAUAACAUGUUUUCAAAACCCAGGGAGAGAGACUGACACAGUACAAAGUUAAAAACAAGAAGUUAAAUGGCUGGCCUAGUCUUGGGAUGGUCAGGGAGCAUCAGUCCCUUGGCUCUAAUGGGAACCCACCACCUCCUCUCCCUUUCAUCUGCCCUGGUGAAUAUCUUUGCUAAUUUCCCUUUGCCCCCUUCUUGGCCUGCCUUACAGCCUGUAAUUCCCUUCAGAGAUGUGAGUGAAAUGAAAUGAAAUUAGGAACUUGCUUAAUGCAAAGAGGACUAAAGGGCACAGCUCUUUAUCCUAAUGAACUUCAUUCUGAUUAAGUCAGGAACUGCAAGCGUUUACUAUUUACCCAGUAAAUGUAUUAGAGAGCCCGGCAAGUCUCCCUCCUGUCUUGACUCUGCCAGCGGGUAUUUGAAAGUCUGAGAUAAGAUCGUUUCUCGACCAUCAUCCAUUGCUUUCUAAUGCUAUUGCUCCUUUCUACAUUUCCAGGAAUACAGAAUGCUGUGGUUUCUAAGAGACAAAAUAUCUGGGUUA